rnacentral:tRNA from 1 species
GGAGAGGUGGCUGAGCGGUUGAAAGCACCGGUCUUGAAAACCGGCGAGGGGCGACCCUCCGUGGGUUCGAAUCCCACCCUCUCCGCCA